GUGCACCAGGCGCGAAAACUUCACACUGUGCGAAAGCACGAUGAGGGAAUCCCAAGUGCUUGCACGUAAGUGUAAGCUGUUUCUCUGUCUAAAACGCAGAGAGAGUAAGGGCUGGGUAAGACGGGUGCCAGCCGCCGCGGUAAUACCUGCAGCUCAAGUGGUGACCGUUAUUAUUGGGCCUAAAACGUCCGUAGCCGGUUUAAUAAAUGCCUGGGUAAAUUGUGUAGCUUAACUAUACGAAUUCCGGGUAGACUGUUAAACUUGAGACCGGGAGGAGUUAGAGGUACUCCUGGGGUAGAGGUGAAAUUCUGUAAUCCUAGGGGGACCACCAGUGGCGAAGGCGUCUAACUAGAACGGGUCUGACGGUGAGGGACGAAGCCCUGGGGCGCAAACGGGGAUUAGAUACCCGGGUAGU
rnacentral:rRNA from 1 species